rnacentral:misc_RNA from 1 species
UGUGGGAGCUGGCUUGCCAGCGAUGGCUGCAUGUCUGACACACCGCGGUGAUCCCAUCGCUGGCAAGCCAGCUCCCACA